rnacentral:rRNA from 1 species
GGAUCCAGACUUUGAUCAUGGCUCAGGAUGAACGCUGGCGGCAUGCCUAAGACAUGCAAGUCGUACGAAGCGGCCCAAUGAUUUAUUUAGAAGCACUGAGAGCUUGCUCAAAGUGUGGAAGAAUAAUGAUUUGGAUUUUCCGCUUAGUGGCAAACGGGUGAGUAACACGUGGUUACCUACCUCCUAGAUGGGGAUACCAAUUGGAAACGAUUGUUAAUACCGAAUGUGAUCUAUGGAUUAAAGAAGCCUUUAAAGCUUCGCUAGGAGAUGGGCCUGCGGUGCAUUAGAUAGUUGGUGGGGUAAUGGCCUACCAAGUCGACGAUGCAUAGCUGAACUGAGAGGUUGAUCGGCCACAUUGGGACUGAGACACGGCCCAAACUCCUACGGGAGACAGCAGUUAGGAAUAUUCGUCAAUGGGGGAAACCCUGAACGAGCAAUGCCGCGUGAACGAUGACGGUCCUCUGGAUUGCAAAG